rnacentral:rRNA from 1 species
UCCUACGGGGGGCAGCAGUAGGGAAUCUUCCACAAUGGACGAAAGUCUGAUGGAGCAACGCCGCGUGAGUGAAGAAGGGUUUCGGCUCGUAAAACUCUGUUGGUAGUGAAGAAAGAUAGAGGUAGUAACUGGCCUUUUUUUGACGGUAAUUAAUUAGAAAGUCACGGCUAACUACGUGCCAGCAGCCGCGGUAAUACGUAGGUGGCAAGCGUUGUCCGGAUUUAUUGGGCGUAAAGCGAGUGCAGGCGGUCUUUUAAGUCUGAUGUGAAAGCCUUCGGCUCAACCGGAGGAUUGCAUUCGAAACU